GAUGAACGCUGGCGGCGUGCUUAACACAUGCAAGUCGAACGAGAAGUGAAGACGGAAACCUUCGGGCGGAAGGCUUUAUUUCGAGUGGCGGACGGGUGAGUAACGCGUGGGUAACCUGCCUCAUACAGGGGGAUAACAGUUGGAAACGACUGUUAAUACUGCAUAAGACCACAGCAACGCAUGGUGCGGGGGUAAAAACUCCGGUGGUAUGAGAUGGACCCGCGUUCGAUUAGCCAGUUGGCGGGGUAACGGCCCACCAAAGCGACGAUCGAUAGCCGAUCUUAGAGGAUCACCCGCCACAUUGGGACUGAGACACGGCCCAAACUCCUACGGGAGGCAGCAGUGGGGAAUAUUGCACAAUGGGGGAAACCCUGAUGCAGCGACGCCGCGUGAGUGAAGAAAUAUUUCGGUAUGUAAAGCUCUAGCAGCAGGGAAGAAAAUGACGGUACCUGAGUAAGAAGCCCCGGCUAACUACGUG
rnacentral:rRNA from 1 species